rnacentral:rRNA from 1 species
AUUGAACGCUGGCGGCAGGCUUAACACAUGCAAGUCGAGCGGGGGAGGUUGCUUCGGUAACUGACCUAGCGGCGGACGGGUGAGUAAUACUUAGGAAUCUGCCUAUUAAUGGGGGACAACAUCUCGAAAGGGAUGCUAAUACCGCAUACGCCCUACGGGGGAAAGCAGGGGAUCACUUGUGACCUUGCGUUAAUAGAUGAGCCUAAGUCGGAUUAGCUAGUUGGUGGGGUAAAGGUCUACCAAGGCGACGAUCUGUAGCGGGUCUGAGAGGAUGAUCCGCCACACUGGGACUGAGACACGGCCCAGACUCCUACGGGAGGCAGCAGUGGGGAAUAUUGGACAAUGGGGGGAACCCUGAUCCAGCCAUGCCGCGUGUGUGAAGAAGGCCUUAUGGUUGUAAAGCACUUUAAGCGAGGAGGAGGCUCUUUUGGUUAAUACCCAAGAUGAGUGGACGUUACUCGCAGAGUAAGCACCGGCUAACUCUGUGCCAGCCGCCGCCGUAA